rnacentral:rRNA from 1 species
UUUUACGGAGAGUUUUGAUCCUGGCUCAGGAUGAACGCUGGCGGCGUGCUUUAAACACAUGCAAAGUCGAAACGUGAAAGCCCCCAGCUUUGCUGGGGGUGGGAUUUAGUGGGCGAAACGGGGUGAGUAAACACGUGAGUAACCUGCCCCUUAACUCUGGGGAUAAGCCUGGGGAAACUGGGGUCUAAUACCGGAUAGGAGCGUCCACCCGCAUGGUGGGGUGUUUGGGAAAAGAUUUUAUCGGGUUUUUGGGAUGGGACUCGCGGCCUAUCAGC